AUUGAACGCUGGCGGCAUGCCUUACACAUGCAAGUCGAACGGCAGCGCGGGAGCAAUCCUGGCGGCGAGUGGCGAACGGGUGAGUAAUACAUCGGAACGUGCCCAAUCGUGGGGGAUAACGCAGCGAAAGCUGUGCUAAUACCGCAUACGAUCUACGGAUGAAAGCAGGGGAUCGCAAGACCUUGCGCGAAUGGAGCGGCCGAUGGCAGAUUAGGUAGUUGGUGAGGUAAAGGCUCACCAAGCCUUCGAUCUGUAGCUGGUCUGAGAGGACGACCAGCCACACUGGGACUGAGACACGGCCCAGACUCCUACGGGAGGCAGCAGUGGGGAAUUUUGGACAAUGGGCGAAAGCCUGAUCCAGCCAUGCCGCGUGCAGGAUGAAGGCUUUCGGGUUGUAAACUGCUUUUGUACGGAACGAAACGGUCUUUUCUAAUAAAGAAGGCUAAUGACGGUACCGUAAGAAUAAGCACCGGCUAACUACGUG
rnacentral:rRNA from 1 species